rnacentral:rRNA from 1 species
UACGAAGGGGGCUAGCGUUGCUCGGAAUCACUGGGCGUAAAGGGUGCGUAGGCGGGUCUUUAAGUCAGGGGUGAAAUCCUGGAGCUCAACUCCAGAACUGCCUUUGAUACUGAGGAUCUUUGAGUUCGGGAGAGGUGAGUGGAACUGCGAGUGUAGAGGUGAAAUUCGUAGAUAUUCGCAAGAACACCAGUGGCGAAGGCGGCUCACUGGCCCGAUACUGACGCUGA